rnacentral:tRNA from 1 species
AGUUGGGUGGCUCAGUGGCGAGAGUUCCAGGUCUGGAUUCUGGAGGACUCGAGUUCAAAUCUGGUCUCAGAUA